UAAUUUUUUUUUUGAAUGUUGUACUGCUUCGGUGGUGUUCCGAACAUUGAAAUAAUUUUUUAUGCAUGAAGAUCGCAAGUUACUUGACAAUAAAAUUGAAAUUUUGGAAAUAAAUUUUUUGUUUUACGCGCCCUGACGAGAUUUGAACCCCAGACCUCUUGCGUAUGAAGCAAGCGUUCUACGUAUCAAACCACAGGACUGAACAAAAAAUUUUAUUGCCA